CUGACAGGGAGCAGCAGCCCUCGGGGUCGGCGUCCCGCAAGUCGGCGAGAUCCCUCAGAGGCACCGGCUUGCAGCCCGAGGGAAGCCCGUUCCUCUGGGCCAGCAUGGCAUCGCCAAGUCCGCGUGGCUCGUUCCUCGGGACGUCCUGCAGACGCACGUUGAUGCUUCCGCUCAGCAGCUGAGUGUGCUGCGGAGAGACCGACCGACCGACUGACUGACGCACCCACCCACUGGCCACACACCCACACACAACUUGGAGCACUGGUCCACGAUGAUCGAUGAUGUCACAUUAUUUAUCGAGCUGACACACCAAUUGCCUUCCCGAGUGUGACGCCACACCCAACGCAAGCCUGACUGUGGCAAAUUCAACGGAACUGCAUCCGUCCGUCGGCGUACCAAGCAUCCGUGGGUCCCUCAAAAGGUUUAACCGGGAGUGACAAAAAAACAUCCCCCCCAAAAAAACAGCUUGAAGCAACCACGCUUUGCCUCUUACUUGAAGAACUGUUCACUGGGCCGCUUUCAUAUGCUAAUAGUCGGGCCGAUUGAGCGGGCCGACAGCCUGGAAUGUUUCUCCACAAAGGAGAAAUGAGAUGGAAGGAGAGCGCAGAGAAAAGGCACAGACAGAAACAUCAGACAACGGCGGGCCAGUGCACAUCUGAAGCCCGUAAGACACUUUGCAAUGAAAGAUCUGCACAUUUUCGUUCCCAACUUGCCUCAAAGAUGAUCACAAUAAAACACAACCGGAAUGAACAUUAUCAUCACUUUCUCUCAUUUGAG